rnacentral:rRNA from 1 species
AUUGAACGCUGGCGGCAGGCCUAACACAUGCAAGUCGAGCGGAGUGGCGGACGGGUGAGUAAUGCCUAGGAAUCUGAAUGGUAGUGGGGGAUGACGUACGGAAACGGGCGCUAAUACCGCAUACUAUUAGAUGAGCCUAGGGCGGAUGAGCUAGUGGGUGGGGUAAAGGCCUAACAAGGAUACGAUCCGUAACUGGUCUGAGAGGAUGAGCAGUCACACUGGAACUGAGACACGGUCCAGACUCCUACGGGAGGCAGCAGUGGGGAAUAUUGGACAAUGGGCGAAAGCCUGAUCCAGCCAUGCCGCGUGUGUGAAGAAGGUCUUCGGAUUGUAAAGCACUUUAAGUUGUGAGGCGUUACCAACAGAAUAAGCACCGGCUAACUUCGUGCCAGCAGCCGCGGUAAUUC